rnacentral:snRNA from 1 species
AGCUUUGCGCAGUGGCAGUAUCGUAGCCAAUGAGGUUUAUCCAAGGCAUGAUUAUUGCUAGUUUGACAGAGUGAGAGCACAAGCAGGGGGUGUGGCAGGCAGAGGGAGAGGGACAAGCAGGCUCCCCACUGAGCAAAGAGCCCAAGUUGGGGGCUCCAUCCCAGGACUCUGAGAUCAUGACUUGAGUUGAAGGCAGACGCUCAACUGACUGAGCCACCUAGGCGCCAGAAAAAUUCAUAAUUUUUAAAAUCCACAAAUUACAGUACCAAAAUUUGG